rnacentral:tRNA from 1 species
AAAGCUUUAGCUUAAUUAAGGCGUCUGUUUUGCAUGCAGGAGAUGUGGUGUAGUAUACCGCAGGCUUUA